rnacentral:tRNA from 1 species
GCCCUUGUAGUUUAAUGGAUAAAACAGCUCCCUUCUAAGGAGCGGCUGCGGGUUCGAUUCCUGCCAGGGGCA